CAGGGAGAAAAUUGCAUUUUGAGCAGCUCUUACUGGACUCACUAAUGGUAAGCAAAUAUUAUUUCAGUGGAGAUUGACUAUAAAAUUAAAGGUAAUUUGAAAAAAAAAAGUAUUUAACCCUUAAGAAGGAUACAUUUAUUACAUUUCCAGGAAUGUUUUAGGAAAUGUUCUAGUCAGAAUAGUGAAACGCUGGUAUCAUUUUGUUUUCCUUGGCCUGCUAUACUAAUGUCUUCAUGAGGUCUCUUCAAGGAGGACUUAGUCAUACUUCACCCUGCAGAUUGUUUUUACACAUAUACCAUGCCAAGCAAUUAGGUGUUCACUUGAUGCCAACUCACUGGAAUUUUGGCAUAUAAUAUUAAUUAUGUGACAAGGUAGUGGGGGAAUGAACAGAGGCAUUUGAUAAGUUUGGUUAGAGCAUGGUUUUGACAGGUAGAACAUGUGAACAUUGCUCUUUGGUCAAUAGUAGAAUUACCUCGUCCUUGUUCAGAAAGGGAAAAGGGAGGAAGAAAAUGGACCGUUGGGCUUUUACACACAUCAUUUUCUUAGGUAAUGUAUUAUGAAAGAGUCUUUCUCAAGUGCUAAUGUAUAAAAAUUAUUCUGUCGCAAAUUUACAGAGGGAAUAGUGCCCAGUCUAAUAGUCCCUAUUAGAAUCAGCCAUAAUUCUAACACUGUGGUCACCACCACCUUACAUUCUUAUAAUAAAUUCCUUUUUCGUAAGUUAGUUUCUAUCAUUUACAAAAUAAAUGAUAACUGACUAAAGCACUGGCAUUCCAUGAAAGAUUUCCUUUGAAAAUGGAAUUAAAAUUUUUCACAACUAGCCGAUCUAGUUCAAUGUUUGCAUUCUAUACAUAAAGAAACUGAGGCCUCAAUAAUUACAAUGAUUUGUCCAAGAUCUUGCCCAAGUUCUUACUAAGUUCUAUUUACCGGUGGAGUCAAAAUCAGAUCUUGAACUUCUAUUUUAUUUUGUUUUAUUUUAUUUUAUUUAUUUAUUUUAUAUAUAGGGAGAGCAUGCGAGCAGGAGAGAGGGGCAGAGGGAGAGAGAGAGAAAGAGAAAGAGAGAAAGAGGGAGAGGGAGAGAAAGGGAGAAUCUUAAGCAGGUUCCAUGCUCAGCACAGAGCCCGAGACAGGACUCAAUCCCACGACCCUGCCAUCAUGACCUGAGCCAAAAUUGAGAGUCUGACAUUCAACCAACUAAGCCACCAGGCGGCCAAAUCUUGAACUUUUAAUAACUCUUAAACAUAUACUUUCCCUUAACAAGUCAAAAUUAACAAACUAUUCUCUUAACUUGGAAAUUUAUGAAAGAGUUACACAGAGGAAAAAAAAAAUGGCCUCAGCAGUAGGAAGUUGAGAAGUGAAACCACAUGGAAAUCCCAAAGAAAUCUACAAGAUUGCUUUGGAGAAUCUAGUAUUUCUUAUCCAGUAAUGGUGAAGCAGUUCACUCCAGGGGAACGCGAAUUUGAAUCCUCUCAGAGUUCAUUUUUUAGGUCUAAGGAUGUGGACACCAUCUAUGUCUUUUAAACAGAGAUGUAGGGGUGGGAUGAUCAGAAAACUUUUUUAAAAAGUUUCUUUUAAAGAAAGGGUUCAAGGGUGCCUUGACAGAGAGGUACUUAUAUAAAUAAAAUUACAACCUAAAAUAACAAAAGCACCUAAAAUUACAUUUUCUGAUCUCUUUCUACACUUCCCCUGAUUUGACUCAUACCUGGGUCCUUUUUACUCCAAUAAUGCCUUCUUAGGCAGAGGCUUUCCUGUCUCUCUAUUUAAAUACAGCCCCCCUUCUUACUUCUGUCAUUUUCUAACAAAUUACUACAUGAAUUCAUUAAAAGCAAUUACCAAAUCUAAAGACUCUAAAUUCUUUGCUUACUUGUUUAUAAUUUGUCAAUCUUCACUACACUUUGGUUCUAAAAAAGGGAAAACCUAGCCUAUAUUAUACAUGACUGUAUCCCCAAGUACAUAAUAUGUGCUUCUUGAAUGAAUGAGGGAAUAAAUGAAGACAAGGCAGACCAGAGUGGUUACUGAUUUCCUCAAUUACCCAUAGCAGGCAAGUAUAACAGCAAAGCCCAGAACUAAGAUUCCUACUAUGUAGUCCUCUGCUCUUUCUGCUAUAUUAUACAGUGCUUCUUCUCUGCAUAUCUAUCUACAUAUCUCUAUCUCUCUAUCUCUAUCUCUAUCUCUAUCUCUAUCUCUAUCUCUACCUAUGUCCAUAUCUAAAUCUAUCUGUAUCUAUCAUCUAUCUAUAUUUAUAUACUUGUACCUAUAUCCAUCAGUCAAGCAGCCAAAACCAUUCAGGUUUCCUAAUGAAGCGCUAAAAGUACAGCCGGGGCACCUGGGUGGCUCAGUCAGUGGAACAUCCUACUUCGGCUCAGGUCAUGAUCGAGCCCCGCAUCGAUCUUGCGUCUGUUAGCACUGAACCUGCUUUCGACCCUCGAUCCUCCUCUCUCUCUGCCCCUUCCCCACUCACGCUUACUCUCUCACAAUAAAUUAACAUUAAAAAAAUUAUAAAAGUACAAUGAAGGCUUCCCGCCUCAUGAUUUAAAACAAGAAAACAUACUAAAAGAGACAAACAAAUUUGGAAUGAGUUAAGAUGAAAAACAAGUCUUUUAAGGGCUGGAGAGAAUGAUUUAUGAGGAGAGAACAAAAGAACCAAAAGAAGCAGCGUAGAGUCUAGUUACUGACUGUUUCAGAACGUUGAUGAAACACAGAGGACAGAAAAAAAAAAAAAGUGUACCAUGAAACGGAACAGUACAGUGCUACUAAUCCAUAUACAUAAGUACUCUCUCACAAAAACACUUGCAAUAUUAGAUUUUUAGCACCACUUUUAUAGUAAAUAUGAAUAUCUAUGCUGAAAUUGACCAUCAUCCUUGACACAAAGGAGAAUAGCAGAGGCUAAAUAUAAUUUCUGGUAUAAAGGCCUUCAUUUCCAUGUUGAAUUUACUCAAAUAGUGUUUAAUUUGCAAAGCAUUCCCAUUCCCCGCAGGGUGCCUCACAAAAUAAAGGAGAGCUACUGAAAGUCUAGUAUAAAGAGAAAAAAAGAAACUAAAGCAGGCCUGACACCAAGACAAUUUUCCUGGAAGUGAAUCUACUGAAUUGUGAAAUAAUCUUCCAAGUGAAGUAAUUACAUUUAAUUUUCAAAGGAACAAAGUUGUCUCUUAGUGUGUUGAGAACUUUUUCCCUCUCAGAAAAUUUUCGAAACUUUCAAGCCAAAGACUUAUGUGCACCGAUGACUUCUAAGAGAACUUCCACCUUAUUCUACUAAUUCCAAGGACAAAAGGACUUGAAGAGGAAAUAAUGAAGCAGAGACUUGGUUUCAAAAAUCAUUUUCCCUCUUCCGGUGGAGAACCCCAUUGAUCUUUUGGGAAAGGAGUGGUUAAGGGAAGGAAAAUGUGUAUCUUUUAUUUACAAGUGUUAGUCACAUUUAAAAAUUUUUUUAAUGUUAUUUGUUUUUUUAUUGUUUCUUUAUUUUAAAAGGAUGAAAUUGGAGAAUUUAUAUAGGUUACAGUGGGAUAAUCAGGAUUGUGAAUUUUAUGCACAUUAUUUUCACUGAACUCCUUAUGGAAAGGUACUAAAACAAUGUAGAACCCCAUUUGUACAUAAUUUUUAAAAGAAUUAUGAUAACCAUUUGAAAACUGGUUUAAGUUCAGCAGUUCCCUGCUGUAACUUUGUCAAACCCAGAUGAGGAAACUACAAAGUUAUAAUAUUUGGGUAUCUUAAGAGACUUAUUAAAUUGUUAUACUUUACCUAACUGUUCACUUUAAAAAUAUUUAUUACAAAGCAGAAAUAAAAAUAAGGUCCUAUGUGAAUAAUUUAGAAUGAAGUUUUCUCAUUUGUUUACAGAACAGUGUAGACAACAGGGCAUGUGGUGCUUAUUCAAGCAUUGUGGUUCCUUCUGGACAUUCCACUUUCUGCUUCUCAUUCUCCUACUUUAUUAAAAAAGAAAAAUCAUUCAACUAGUAUUUAUUGGGUGUCUACUUGGUGCUAGUUAUUGUUCAGCUUAUAGCUAUCUGGCAGCCAAUCUCCAGGAGGAUGGCCAAUGAUUCAUACCCUAGUUAGUGUACUCCUUCCCACCUGAGCCGGAGUUUGUGUGUGUGACUGGUAGAGCAAAAGUGUGUGAUUUCUAAGCUUGGGUCAUCAAGCACAUUGUCAUUUCUGCCCUCUUCUCUCUUGGACCAUUUGUUCUGGGUAAAUGCAACAGGUAUAUGAGGAGGCUACUCAAGAUGUCCAGUGGAGCCGUCCAUACCGUGGAGAGCUAAGUCUUCCUGCAAACAGCCAGCACCAACUUGCCAACUAUGUGAGUCAGACAUCUUGGAUCUAGAUCUCCCUUGCCUACUGAAGCCUUCAGAUGGCUGUAGCCCCCACAACACCCUGAUUGCAACCCUGUAAGAGAGACCCCAAGACAGAGGAGCCCAUCAGACUCCUCCCAGAUUCCUGAUCCACAGAAACUGUGAGACAAGAAAUGUUUAUUCUUGUUUAAAGGCAUUAAAUCAUGAGGUAUUUUUUUUAUAUAGCAACAGAUAAUACGACCUAUUUUGUCAUAUGAGAAAAAAUAAACAUGUGGUAACUAAUUAUGUGAUUUGUAAGAUAACAAAGUGUACGUACUAGAAGGACUUUAGGAUGUCUCUUUUGUUCACGUCUAGAAAAAAAAUUUGGAUUCUCAAACUGCAACACUCUUAUCUGAAGAUGAUAGAUUUUUCAUUAAUUAUUGUAAACAAUUACUAAAAUUAAGGGACCAACCAUUAUUUUGCUAUUAUUAGUAAUUUACUUUGAACAGCAUGAAGACCUGAAACAAUCUGUAUUUUUCUAAGUACUGAAAUAGGUCUCUUAGGUAGUCUAAGAAAUAAAUGAAACAAAACUGACAGCAGGAUUACUUCCCAUAAGAGUUGCAAUUGAUUGCAGCCAGACUCUAUGAGUAGAAUAUCAAGAUCUGAUUUCUACUCAGUUAUUUUCUGUGGGAGGAGAUGUGCUGGCAGUAAAAUUGAUGUGAAAAAAGAGAGAGACUUUCCUAAUCAAAAAGUAUACUUGUUACUUGUUCUGCAAGAGUCUAUGGAAAAGCCCCCAAAGAGGCCUGAGUCUCCAUAUUAGUAACAGACUUUGACUAGAGCUUAUUAAGUGAAGUUCUACAAAAUUUCUGUUUUCUUUCUGAGAUAGGCUAGGUGUCUGCAGUAAGAGAGAACAUGUAAUAUCUGUACAUCCUCUGCUUUAGGAAUUUCUUUGUUUAGAAAUCACAAUGACCAACUGUUUAAUGUUGCCAUAAAUGAGUAAGAAGACACUCCUCAUCAGUGUCCCAAAUAAGCAAUAAAGUUGCUACAGAAUGUCCUGUGGAAAGUGUUAGAGGGUCAGAAUACCCCCCUAGAAUGGCUACCUGGUUUAGCUGUCAGAUUUCAGCUACAUGAGAUCUAAUCUCUUUGGCAUGCAUAUUCAUCUCUCUAUCUCUAUAUGUCUGGCCUAUUUAUAAAGAACCCCACCCUAGGGAAAAAGGGAAGGUCAAAAAAAUGACAUCUGGUAAUGAUAGUUAUUGCUUAGUUUUUCAUGUAAUCAUAAAUUAAGAGAGAGUUAGUUAAGACCUUCCUAACUGGUCUCUGUAUCACUCAUUGUGAUCUUUAAUUUUUCCCUCAAUAAAAUAGAACAGUACUAUUUUCCUCAGAGCUAACAAGUUAAACAGCACUUAAUCCAUUUGUGUUAGGCUCCUCUUUAAAAUACAAACAUAUAUUUAUUUGGUUAGGCAUGUCUGUAACUUAUAAUCUAUGUAAAUUCUUAUGACCAGGACGGGUGCGUGUUCUUCUCUAUACCUUGUGAGGAGAGAAGGGGUAGAAAUCUUGCCUCCAGUGGAGAGAGGGUUAUUUGAAAGUACCGUGUGGCAUCGGGAAGCAAGGGGAGGGUGAGCUGCUUCUGUGGAAGCUUAGGACAGCUAUAGGCCACAUGAGCCGGUGAACUUGGGUGUCGGGGGUGAGAGAAGGCCUCAAGCUCGGAGGGGAGUAAGCCCGACAAAGCUGGUUACAGAAAACUGUAUCUGAAUCUGGAUACUGAUUGUAUCCAAGCAGUUGUCUUCCCUUUGUUCAGGCAUAAAUGGAAGCCAUUUUAAUGAAAUUUUAAAUAGUCAUCUACCUACCUUUGGGAGUGUCCCUAGAAAUCAGAAGAAUAAGAGAAGAGAAGCCAGAGGACAGUUGGAAAUUGUCCAAAUCCAGGCCACCCUGUGGUCUAAUAUGCCUAUCAAAGCAAAUUUUCUCACUAGUAUGGUUUCAAAACUGGUCUUAAAAGCCCUUGUUAAUGACCUGGUAAUUGUUUUAAUAGCUUCUCAGUCAAGUGUGAAGUGCUGUAGUUGACAUGUCAGCAAUGUAUGAAGGAUGGCGAAAGUUCACUCCCCGGGUAGCUAGAGUAUCAUUAAGCAUUCCUGCUUACAUUUUGGCUUGCUUAGCAAUAAAAAUUUAUUUACUAUAUCCAUAAAACUUGUCUCUAGCUGCCUAAGGAAGUCUCCAUUCAGGUUGGCUCUGUAAGAGGAAUGUUGAAGGAAUUCUUGAUGAGCAGUGACUUUCCCUUUUCUGAGCAGCUUCGUCAGUGGGUGAUGAAGUCAUUUUGUUCAAAUUCUCUCUUGUUUCUUUCAUAUGAAGAGAUGUCCCCAAAUCCCAGGAGGGAAAUAACCUUUAAAAAGCAUUUUUUCCAGAUUUACAUUUAACUGAUACUCAUACAUUCACUUAUUUAAAAAUAUUUUACGUACAUUUUAUGUACCAGCUACCAUUCCAGGCAAUGGGGAUAUAAUAAUGAGUAAAAUCUAUAGCAUUAAGGACAACAUAUUCUAAUGAGAGAAAAAGAGUGUAUGUGUGUUAUACAUAUAUGUGUACGUGCAUAUGCACGUACGCAUAUAGAAAAACACUAAUAUAUGUGAGUAAUGGUAACGUUCUAUGGAGAAAAACAAUGCAAAAACAGAAUAAGGAGGGUUGAUGGUAUAAUGGAAAAGGAGUUUUGUUUCAUUUUCUUUUAUUUAGGGUCAUAAAGAAAGGCUGAUAUUUGAGCUGACAGAAGUGAAGGGAGCAAGGGAGCGAGUUAGGGAGGUAUCUGGUAGAAUAAAGUUUCAGGUAGAGGAAAAAACAAAGACCCUGAGGUGGAAGCAAACUUGCUAUGUUUCAGCAAAAAUAAGGAACUCUGUGUGGCUGACAGUGCCUAAGGAAGAAAAUAAUACAGAUAAGGUGAGGGAAGAAAGUAACAGAAGGAGGCAGAUCUUGUAGGGCUUUACCUCUGAGUGAAGUGGGAGAGUUCUAGCAGAAGAGUCCCAAGAUGGAAAUUACAUUUGAAAAGAAGUCUCUGGUUGUCCUGAGAUAACACUGUGUGUGUGAAAGAGGGCAGGUGCAGUCAAAGCAGGAGACCAAAGCAAUUAUCCAAAGAGACAUGGUGAGUUAGGGUUGUGAGGGUGCACAGGGUAGUAACUGAUUGGUUCUAGAUAUAUUUUGGAGGCAAAACUGAUAAGAUUCAUCAUCAUACUGGCUAUGGGGUUGGAAAGAAAGUGAGUAAAAGAUGACUCUAGAGCCAUUUAUCCUGAGCAACAGCACAAUUAACUCUUUGUUAAUGAGAUGGAGGAUACUGAGUACUCACUAGGUGUCACACCUACUAUGAAGCCAGUAAGUGACAGAAGUAGAAUUGAAACCAUGUAUAGCAGGUGUGUGUGUGUGUGUGUGUGUGUGUGUGUGUGUAUCUAAUAAGCAUUAUAUGCUUUCACCUCUCUAAUUACAUGAGAACAUAUAUGAUGCUUGGAACUGCAUGGGCUAUUUUGUCACAAUGAUAUAUCAGAAUUUAAGCAGGAAUGAGACAGCACAUGCAAGUGUGGUCAUUGAGAGUUUCAUAAAGUAUGAGCAGGAUAAAAGAGAACUAUGAGGAACAGGUAGCCCUUGGGAAUUACAAUUGCAGGGUGCCAUUACUACGAGUGGGCUUGAAAAUGCCAGGAACAGGAGUGUUUAUGAGAAUAUGUAAAGGGCUGUAAUCAUAGCUUUAGGAGAGAGGUAUCCUACAGUAACUGUCACCAGGAACAUAGGUAGAGGGACUCAGGCUCUUGUAAACCUUUGCCUGAGGUGGAAAGACCCAAGUGAAUAAAAACCCACUCUUUUUGCAUGCUGAUCUUCUGCAGGCAUUGCCUGACCAGAAGCCACAGAGCAGUUGGUAACCCUAUAGAAGGCUAGUUGCCCAGGAAUAGAGCAGGAUGGAGAUGUGUCGAUCUGAGCUGCGGUGGAGAAUAUCUGGUAAUGCAGCUAGACCUAGAGAAAAAAGGGAACAAAGAAAAAUGGCAGAAUGGGAAAGUAGAAACAAAUCUUUAGCUCCUGAUGAUGUUCCUGCAUCACCCUACUGCAUCUGGAAUUACCAACUCCAGGCUUUUAUAUUUAUAUUUAUAUUUAUAUUUAUAUUUAUAUUUAUAAUUUUAGAUUUACAGAAAAGUGACAAAAAUAGCAGAUAAUUCCCAUAUGCCCUUAACCAGCUCCUCCUAAUGUUAACAUCUUGCAUACCCAUAAUACAAUUAUCAAAACUAAGAAUGAAUCCUGGUAUAAUACUAUUAAUUAUACUAUAGACUAUAUUUGGGUUUUUCUAGUUAUUCUGUUAAUAUCUUCUUUUCUAUUUCAGGAUGCACUGCAAAUUGCCACAUUGAAUUUAGUUAUUAUGUCUCUUUAGUCUCCUUCAAUCUGUGAUGAUUUCUCAAUCUUUCCUAAUUUAUUUAUUUUUUUAAAUAACCUUCACACUUUGGAAGAGUACUAGUCAAUUAUUUAAUAGAAUGUCCCACAAUGUGAGUUUAUCUGAUGUUUUCUCAUGAUUAGAUUAUACAUUUUUGGCCAUAAAAACAAAGAAACAAUAAGCCUUUCUCAGUAUAUCUUAUCAGCUAUAUGAUGUCAGUAUGACUUAUUACCUAACUACUAAUUGAUCUUAUUGUGUAUGAUGGCAACAUAGAUCUCUUGGUUAACAUGGUCUCAGUCAGGUGCAAACUUCUUUCAUGUGAAAUGAUUAAAUAUCUUUAUUUCUAUUAUUUAAGCCAGUGUUAGUUGGUAUUUUCUUACUUGCAGAUGGAUAUAUCUUAACAAGUACACCAGUCCUUCAUCAUAUCUUCCUAUUCCCCAGGGUACCUUAUUUACUGUAUGACAAAAUGAAUAACUUAAUCAAAAGUCCCUGAAUUGUAUAUUUAGGACCUGUGUAUAUCGUCAAUUUAUAGAAAACCAAAGUCACGGAAUUGAUUUUUAUCUAACUGACCUUCAGAUUUUUGAAACAAAAUAAUACAUGCAUGAUCAAAGCAAGAAAGCAUUUAAUGAUUAAAUUCAAGGACUGAAACAGAAUUAGAGGAAUUAUUAGUCCAACCUCCUGUAUAAUUAUAGAAUCGUCUUUAAAAAUAUUUUAAGGUUUAUGUAUUUAUUUUUGAUAUAGAGAGAACAGGAGCUGGGGAGGGGACAGAGAGAGUGGGAGAGAGAGAAUCUCAAGUAGGCUCCACCCUGUCAGCACAGAGCCCUGCGCAGGGCUCGAUAUCAGAAACCUUGAGAUCAUGACCUAAGCCAAAAUCAAGUCAGAUGCUUAACCGACUGAGCCACCCAGGUGCACCAAAAAAUUCUUCUAAAGGCAGGCUUAAAACAUUAAAAAUUACUAAUUUUGUCCUGCAGCAUUGGUUCUUAGUGUGGGAGCAAGGAUGGAAGAAUGCAGGUGUUAUACCUCUUCCAUCCAUGUUGGCAUUGAUUGAUUAACCAACCCUGUUUGAGCACAGAUGAUCAUUACUAAAUGCAUGUAUUUUCAUUCAGACACAUUGCCUUAUCUUUUUCAGAACAUUUUAAGAGUGAAUUAGAGAGACACUAAUAAACAAACUCCUCAAGUUUCAGUGAUAAUACAACAGAACUUUAUUUUUUACUCAAAUAGAAGUCCAAAACAGGUGCUUCAGGUGGGCAGGUUGCCACUUCUGACAUGCAGUCCAGGGCCCCUGGCUCUAUAUGUUUUGUGGCUCAGCCAUCCCCUAGAACCUGCUGGGUAAAAUGCAUAGGAGAAGGAACUCCUGCUUCUUUAAAACUCUCUCUUGGAAAUGAUACAUGUUAUUUUCACUCAUAUUUCAUUGGCCAAGCUUUUCACAUGGCCACACACCUCGAAGAAGGGAGCCUGGGAUAUAUAAUCAUCUGGAAGGGGGCAGGCACCUUCCAGAAAUAUGUACAGAAUAUAGAGGAGCAGCACUUGUGUUUGUUCCUCAGUUAGCUGCCUCUGUCACAGGUGGCUGAUUUAAACACUUGGUGAAAUACAGAUAUAAUGUGUCUGGGGUCUUUCUCUGACCUAAUGUUCUACUAUGAGGUCUGCAAACUUUUCCUAUAAAAAGCUUGGUAGUAAAUACUUUAGGCCUCUAGGUCAUAUGAUCUCUGUUGCGGCUAAGUCAGCUCUGUCAUUCCAGUGGAAAGCUGUCUUAGACCUAAUGCCAGUGAAUGAGUGUGGCUGUGUUCCAGUAAACUUUAUUUAUGGACACUGCAAUUUAAAUUUCAUAUAAUUUUUGUAGGCAGUGAAAUAUCUUUUAAGCUGUUUUUCCAAUCAUUUAAAAAUAUAAAAACCUUCAUGGUUCUCAGGCCAUAUAAUAGGCUGCAGACCAGAUCUGACCUCUAGGCUUUACUCUGCUGACCCCUGAUCUAGCACCACUCUUUACAAAUUAAGAUCAAUGUAUCAUGAUUUGAUUUCAGUGAAUACUUGCUAAGUCUUAAUACCCACUUAUUUCCCCCCAAAGUUCUGAUAAAUCACUUAUUAAUUAGAAUAUAUUCUGGAAAUCACAUGCAAUCUAAGUCAUCUCACGAAGUUGAUUUCAUACUGCAUUAAUUAUAGCUAAAAUGUAUUAAGCACCCAAGAAGCAUAAUCAUUUUACAUACAUUAUUUUAGCUCUUUAAAAAUACCCUAUGACAUAGCUAUUACCAUGCCUACUUUGUCACUGAAGAAUCCAAGGCUCAAAAUAGCUAGAAGUAUUUUGAUUAUAUUCCACACAGCAAAAAAGGUAAAAGUCAAAAUUGAAACUCAACCUGUAUAUGACAACCUGCACUCUUUUCAUCACACCAAAGUUUCUCGGCCUUCGAGGUGUGAGCUCAUUAAAAGCUGAUAGCUAUUCUUUCAUUCUCUCUUUAUACCUGUGUUUGGACUUGAUUGCGCCUUUUCAUGUGCAUUUUAUCCUUUUCAGUGUGAAAAUAAUGUUCCUUCCAUGGAGCCCAAACUGCACAACUAAUGCCACAUGACACUAAGUGUAGUAAGUAGUUCAGUACGAAGAAAAGUUUCUCAGUGUGGAGAGCGGCUCUGAAAUCAUAAUGUCUGUUAUUGACAGUGAACCAGAGAAAAGCCUGAUGAGAAAGAGCCCACGUUGUCUCUCAAGAGAGAGGAUAAAAGCAAGUAGGACUUCAGUGGUUGUGCCUCUGAGCUCUGCAGAAGUGCAGGUCUUACUCUGUUACUAACCAGUAUGACCUUGGGUAACAUACUUUACCUCUCAGGUCUGUAAUCUCAGAAUUGCUUAUUGAAUUUUAGACUCUGACCUUUUUACAAAGGGACUUGAGGGAACAUGGGUGAAUCAAAUUUAACACCUAUUUUGCAAAACUCACAAGAUUACUAAUUGGCAUAAAUUGCUUGCCAGUGAGGGCAUGUGACAGUGCUUUGCAAAUUGAUACAAAAAAGAAAUUUCACAAAUAAAAGCUAUGUUAUGAAUAUUCUAGAUUGCAUCACAGAUUAUAUUCAGUUAAGGUCACACCAUACUAGUUCUCAUUUUGUCGGAUAUAGAAUCUUUAACAGGAGUAAUGUUAUUUGCCCCUUCCCUCAUCAUAUAGAUUUUCAAACUGAUGAAUACAUUCAUCUCUGUUUAUAUUUGCCCUUUGGAUGAAACGUUCCUUUAAUGAAAGUAUAUGCCUUCCCUCAGAGCAAAAAUUACAUUUCAUAAUAAAUCUAUAUCCUUGAAAUACUGUGUGAAUUUUCAAGCAUAGAUAUUAGUGAAAUAUUAUUUUGGAGGAUAAAAGUAGCCAUUUUCCAGCUCAUUGACCCUUCAGUGGUGUUUUCAUGGGGAUGUCACAGGCAGGACGAGAUGGCAGCAUCAGCAGAAGAGGUGAAAUCAGUAUCUGUCUUCCGUACCCCUUCCCUACCUCGUGCAGUGAAAUUCAGUACAAAGAAAACUGAUAUGCGUGGUAUUAAAUAACUCAACAAGAAAGAGCUAGAGAAAAUUCUUUGUAGCAACACCUCCUGCAACACACAAGUCUCUCCCCUGGCAGACUAUUUCCUUUUAACCAUUUGAGGCUUCUCACAUUUCCGCUGCAGCUGGAGCCCAUCCCAAGGCACUUCCUGCCUCUUCGGAUUUUUGGCACAGGGCCUUGUGCUGUUCCAUUUGGCUCUCCUAGAGGCAUCUGAUUUGUUGCUAUGAGGCUCAGUUCUGUCUCUAUUGUUGCCUUCAUCGUAAGUGAAAGAUGUCUACUUUUCAGAGACAGCUGUACCAGCUUUGAUGUGUGUGGGGAUGAGAAGGGAGAAGCGAAUGCCAUUUUUCUCUAUUUUGUGACACCAAGCAGUUUAAAUUUGCACUAAGGGAGAACGCAAGCAAAGCCAAUUUUCUUAUUAAAUAAAAAUGCCACAUUAUACUUUGGGAGCCCUCGCCAAGAUCCGACCAGAAUCUGUACUUCACCUAAAUAUCUGAGGAAAGCCAUUUAGUAAUACUAACCCAGUAAUAGUGAUUGACUUCUGUCUAGUUAUAUCAAUCAGAAUCUAAAAUGUACAUUUAUUUGGACUCAGCGGCACAGCUUCUAGGAAUUUAUCCUACAGACAGACUGAAAAAUGUGCAUCAAGAAAUAUAUAUAAAGAUCACAAUGCUGGGUCAUAACGGCCCCGUGGCAGCAAUAGCCUAAGGCUAAGGAGCAGAUCUCCUGUCCACUUCAGCCUCAGCUCAGCAUUCUUUAUUCACCACUGAUAACUUCUUAUUCCCCACAGGUACUUAUGUAUGUGCCACACAUACAUGCUUUUCAAAGGCUAACCGUCUCUACAACUAUGAGAACACAUGGGAAUGAAGGAAAACACAGUCUGUCAAAGAAGGCAAGAAACACUGCCAAGAUUAUUUCCUUUUGUGUUGAUGACCUGUUUGAUUUUAAUGAAGCUAGUAGUAAAUGAAUAUAUGGCAAUAUAUGAAGAAAGAAUACAUAGAAGGAUAAAAUUAGAAAUCUUUUCUCUUUGCUCCCGGUAUCAGCAGUUUUAGAUAUACCCUCUGGUAUACAUUUCUAAGUGUGUAUGUAUGUAGGUGCAUAUGUGUGCAAACAUGGUU
rnacentral:lncRNA from 1 species